AACAGAUAUACAGAAUCCUACCCCUAUCCUGUACACACCAUCUCCGACCAUCCCAACACACCAUGUGGGGUUAAAAACACCCAUCCAUCCCUACACACCAUGUAAUGUCGAUACGACACAUAACAGAUAAUAUGCAGCCAAGUUGCCAGAAUAUAGGUUAAAGGUUGCUGUACAGAUCACUUCCACCACAUAUGCAAAUCCC
rnacentral:lncRNA from 1 species